rnacentral:rRNA from 1 species
CCUACGGGAGGCAGCAGUGGGGAAUAUUGCGCAAUGGACGAAAGUCUGACGCAGCAACGCCGCGUGAGGGAUGACGGCCUUCGGGUUGUAAACCUCUUUCAGCAGGGACGAAGCGAGAGUGACGGUACCUGCAGAAGAAGGACCGGCCAACUACGUGCCAGCAGCCGCGGUAAUACGUAGGGUCCGAGCGUUGUCCGGAAUUAUUGGGCGUAAAGGGCUCGUAGGCGGUUCGUCACGUCGGGAGUGAAAACUCGGAGCUCAACUCCGAGCCUGCUUCCGAUACGGGCAGACUAGAGGUAGGCAGGGGAGAGCGGAACUCCUGGUGUAGCGGUGGAAUGCGCAGAUAUCAGGAAGAACACCGGUGGCGAAGGCGGCUCUCUGGGCCUUACCUGACGCUGAGGAGCGAAAGCGUGGGUAGCGAACAGGAUUAGAUACCCUGGUAGUCCACGCCGUAAACGUUGGGCGCUAGGUGUGGGGGACAUUCCACGUCCUCCGUGCCGCAGCUAACGCAUUAAGCGCCCGCCUGGGGAGUCGGCCGCAAGGCAAAACUCAAAUGAAUUGACGGCNGAGACGNGCGAGACGACGACGAGGAGAGG